AUGGAUGCAGAAAAAAUGGGGUCGCAUGGCUGCGAAAAGCAAAAUAGCACGACGUGGGACGGAACGCCAUGCGUCCGGAGAGGCACGUGCAACAGGCCCUGCAGGGCCGAGGGCUUCGACAACGGCCAUUGUGACAACCUCUUUACAUGCAUCUGCUACAGAAACUGCACCGACCUAGUAUACAUGUAG
rnacentral:rRNA from 1 species